rnacentral:ncRNA from 2 species
GGAAUUAGAAGCUAAGAAGGUUGCUUUUAAUCCUAGUUAAAAGGGAAGCCGGUGUAAAUCCGGCACGGUCCCGCCACUGUAAAUCAGGGAUGUUCUCAAGAAUCAAUUUCAUAAUCUGCAUAGGCGAUUAUGAAAUUGAUUCAAUAUACCACUGUUCUGCUUCAUGUAGGAUGGGAAGGUGAGAAUGUCAGCUAACCUGUGAGUCAGGAGACCUGCCUUAUGAGAAGUACGAUG